rnacentral:pre_miRNA from 9 species
UCAUGGAGAAACUCACGGCAAAAGUUUUUUUGCAUAUCCUGCACAGUUUCAGUUCUCGCAGAGUAGGCAAAAAAACAAUUUUGACGUGAGUGCUCUACAG